rnacentral:rRNA from 1 species
CCUACGGGUGGCAGCAGUGAGGAAUAUUGGUCAAUGGGCGCGAGCCUGAACCAGCCAAGUCGCGUGAGGGAUGACGGCCCUACGGGUUGUAAACCUCUUUUGCCGGGGAGCAACGCGCGCCACGUGUGGCGCCACUGAGAGUACCCGGAGAAAAAGCAUCGGCUAACUCCGUGCCAGCAGCCGCGGUAAUACGGAGGAUGCGAGCGUUAUCCGGUUGUAUGGGGUUUAAGGGGUGCGUAGGCGGAUCGUUAAGUCAGCGGUAAAAUUGAGGGGCUCAACCCCUUCCCGCCAUUGAAACUGGCGCUCUUGAGUGGAAGAGAAGUAUGCGGAAUGCGUGGUGUAGCGGUGAAAUGCAUAGAUAUCACGCAGAACCCCGAUUGCGAAGGCAGCAUGCCGGCUUCCGACUGACGCUGAAGCACGAAAGCGUGGGGAUCGAACAGGAUUAGAUACCCGGGUAGUC